rnacentral:rRNA from 1 species
GAGAGUUAAACAGUACGUGAAAUUGUUGAAAGGGAAACGAUUGAAGCCAGUCGUACCUUCGGGUAAUCAGCCUUUCGGGUGCGAUUCUGUGGGGUGUGAAGAGUUAAACGCCUUCACGUUUUGCAUAUUCGUGCUCUUGGGUGUACUUGCCCGUGUGGUUGGUUAACAUCAAUUUUGGACGCCAUAAAAUGGCUGGAGGAAUGUAGCUUCGAUCUCGUAUUGAAGUGUUAUAGCCUUCGGUAGAUGUGGUUUUCGAGAUUGAGGAUUGCAACGGAUACCCUUCGGGGCUACCUAUCUGAUCUCUGAUCGUUGCUCUGGUGCCGAAAGCUUGCUUACGGUUAUCAAAGUCGAUGGUCAAUAUGUUAGAAUGGGUUAAAUUCGUUAAGGAUGUUGACGUAAUGGCUUUAAACGA